AAGCCUCAUCCCAGAAAGACCUCU
rnacentral:misc_RNA from 1 species